UACGUAGGGGGCAAGCGUUGUCCGGAAUCAUUGGGCGUAAAGCGCGUGUAGGCGGCCCGGUAAGUCCGCUGUGAAAGUCAAGGGCUCAACCCGUGGAUGCCGGUGGAUACUGUCGGGCUAGAGUGCGGGAGAGGCGAGUGGAAUUCCUGGUGUAGCGGUGAAAUGCGCAGAUAUCAGGAGGAACACCGAUUGCGAAGGCAGCUCGCUGGAACGUAACUGACGCUGAGGAGCGAAAGCGUGGGGAGCGAACAGG
rnacentral:rRNA from 1 species